rnacentral:rRNA from 1 species
UAGGGAAUCUUCGGCAAUGGGGGCAACCCUGACCGAGCAACGCCGCGUGAGUGAAGAAGGUUUUCGGAUCGUAAAGCUCUGUUGUAAGAGAAGAACGUGUGUGAGAGUGGAAAGUUCACACAGUGACGGUAACUUACCAGAAAGGGACGGCUAACUACGUGCCAGCAGCCGCGGUAAUACGUAGGUCCCGAGCGUUGUCCGGAUUUAUUGGGCGUAAAGCGAGCGCAGGCGGUUUAAUAAGUCUGAAGUUAAAGGCAGUGGCUUAACCAUUGUUCGCUUUGGAAACUGUUAAUCUUGAGUGCAGAAGGGGAGAGUGGAAUUCCAUGUGUAGCGGUGAAAUGCGUAGAUAUAUGGAGGAACACCGGUGGCGAAAGCGGCUCUCUGGUCUGUAACUGACGCUGAGGCUCGAAAGCGUGGGGAGCAAACAGG